AUUGAACGCUGGCGGCAGGCCUAACACAUGCAAGUCGAGCGGAUGAGUGGAGCUUGCUCCAUGAUUCAGCGGCGGACGGGUGAGUAAUGCCUAGGAAUCAGCCUGGUAGUGGGGGACAACGUUUCGAAAGGAACGCUAAUACCGCAUACGUCCUACGGGAGAAAGCAGGGGACCUUCGGGCCUUGCGCUAUCAGAUGAGCCUAGGUCGGAUUAGCUAGUAGGUGAGGUAAAGGCUCACCUAGGCGACGGCCCGUAACUGGUCUGAGAGGAUGAUCAGUAACACUGGAACUGAGACACGGUCCAGACUCCUACGGGAGGCAGCAGUGGGGAAUAUUGGACAAUGGGCGAAAGCCUGAUCCAGCCAUGCCGCGUGUGUGAAGAAGGUCUUCGGAUUGUAAAGCACUUUAAGUUGGGAGGAAGGGCAGUAAGUUAAUACCUUGCUGUUUUGACGUUACCAACAGAAUAAGCACCGGCUAACUUCGUGCCAGCCGCCGCCGUAA
rnacentral:rRNA from 1 species